rnacentral:rRNA from 1 species
UACGGCUCAGUAACACGUGGAUAACUGCCCUAAGGAAGGGGAUACCCUCGGGAAACUGAGGAUAAUACCCUAUAGGUUACCGAUGCUGGAAUGCUCGGUAACUCAAAGUUCCGGCGCCUUAGGAUGGAUCUGCGGCCGAUUAGGUWGUUGUUGGGGUAACGGCCCAACAAGCCCGUAAUCGGUACGGGUUGUGGGAGCAAGAGCCCGGAGUUGGAUUCUGAGACACGAAUCCAGGCCCUACGGGGCGCAGCAGGCGCGAAAACUUUACAAUGCGGGCAACCGUGAUAAGGGAACCUCGAGUGCCUGUACAUGCAGGCUGUCUGGGUGUCUAAAACACACCCAAAGAAAGGGCCGGGCAAGACCGGUGCCAGCCGCCGCGGUAAUACCGGCGGCUCGAGUGGUGGCCACUUUUAUUGGGCUUAAAGCGUUCGUAGCUGGGUUGUUAAGUCUCUUGGGAAAUCCGGCGGCUUAACCGUCGGGCGUCUAAGAGAUACUGGCAAUCUUGGAACCGGGAGAGGUGAGGGGUACUUCGGGGGUAGGAGUGAAAUCCUGUAAUCCUCGAGGGACCACCUGUGGCGAAGGCGCCUCACCAGAACGGCUUCGACAGUGAGGGACGAAAGCUGGGGGAGCAAACCGGAUUAGAUACCCGGGUAGUCCCAGCCGUAAACGAUGUGCGUUAUUUGUUCACGACCACGAGUCGUCGAGGUGCCGAAGGGAAACCGUGAAACGUACCCGCCYKGGAA